rnacentral:lncRNA from 1 species
CCAAUGGGUUUCUUCGUAUUGUACAAAUUAUCCUAAACUAAUAUACUAAUCCGUAUGAUGCGAUGAAUAGAUAAUUAAAAAAAAUAAAAAGGUGACAAAGACAGAGGAAAUGGUGAUAAAAAAAGCAACGAUGAGGGAUAGGAUUUAUCAUGUCGAUAAAAAAAGAUAACAACUGAAGAAAGUGAAGGAGUAAUAGCAGUUCGGCCCAAUAUAGAGAUAUGAUCCGAUUCAGUUUAAGUAAAAAAAAAAAAAAUGAUUUGGUUCGAGUAAAGAAAGAAAAAAAAUAUAUAGAGGACUUGAGCCGGUUCAGGAGAUCCUACACUUAAUAAUGAUUAGUUUGGUUCAAGUAAAGAAAAAGAAAAAUUCUGAUCCGGUUUAAGCAAAGAAAAAAAAAUAUAUGUGAAAGACUUGAGCCAAUUCGUGUGAAGCCCACACCCAACAAUGAAAAAGAUAUUUGUUAUAUGGCAAAUUUAGCAAGAAUAAUGCAUAAGUAUAAACUUGAACCGAUGCGGAAAGUUCACACUCAAUAAUAAUUGAUUCGAUUCAAACAAAAAAGAGAACUAGUUCGGUUCAAGCAAAUAAAGAGAAAAAAAGGUGAAAAACUUGAGUCGGUUCAGAAUGGAAACAUUGCUUAUGGCAAAUAUAGACAUAUUAGUAUAUUAUCAAAUUAACUUCUGAAUCUCAAAAUAGUAAUGCUCAUGCUAAAAGAUAUACGCCCGUAAUCGCCUUUAUAUAUAGGUCCAUCUUCAAAAUCUUCAUCGAUCUCCAUGAUAACACUCUCUCCACGGCCUCAUCUGACUACUCAUAUGUUUGUCUCAUCUCUAAAAAGGAAGGAGCGCGCAAAUUAAAGGACUUCCG